AUGCAGACAUAUGAAUACUUGCACUUGACAAAAACAAACUGUAGUCAACAGUGUAAAUCACUGCACAGGAAUGCAAACCUUCCGACAGCACCCUUCAGAGAUGUGGGUUUCACCAGGCCUCCCAGCCUGUACAGAUUACAGGGCAUUUAUCUAAGGAGCAGAAAUAAUGCCACCUGCUGUGAACAUGUAUGGCAGGUCUCUCCCAGCAUCAGAAAUGAGCGAAGCCCAGUAAAAGAUUUUCUCUCCAUACUCACACGCGAGGACCAGUCCAGUUUUCAUCUUCUUGCAGAGCUGUGUCCUCCUGCUCUCCAGAGUGGCAGCUCUGCUCUACUGUGUCCUGUGCUGAUGCUGAGUCCCACAGAGCUCAUACACUCCAGUGUCCCUGUGAGAGAGCUCCUGCAACACAGCAGCGGCCACACUGCAGAGCAGGAGCACAGAGAGGACUCCCAGCACUGCCCACAGGACUGGACACUGACAGCAGGGCUGGACCACAGCUGCACUGCCUGAGGACAGACCGGGACAGGAUCUGUGCUGAGCAGUAUUGCGGACAGUGGGAAUGGGAGAGACUGGAGUGACUCUGGAAGAUUUUAGACAAUCAGACUGAGGGACAGAAAGAUAAUCUACCAGUCAUCUGAGAGGAAUUCCAGAGGUUUAAACCAUCAAGCCAGAGAGAGAGAAUAAUUUCACAAUAAUUUUGUAGACACACAAAUGGACUGAAGGUCUACAACAGUUGCUUUAGAGGACAAUUUUUUAACCAGCAUGGCAGAGAGACAGAGUACACCUAAGUGCAAGAAUUUCUUUUUAAAGCAAAAUGUUUGUGGCUACUAGAUUUCAAACUUUAACACCGUUUUCUGUCUAAAAUCAAAGCUGAAUUAAC
rnacentral:lncRNA from 1 species